rnacentral:rRNA from 1 species
ACGAAGGGGGCUAGCGUUGCUCGGAAUCACUGGGCGUAAAGGGUGCGUAGGCGGGUCUUUAAGUCAGAGGUGAAAUCCUGGAGCUCAACUCCAGAACUGCCUUUGAUACUGAGGAUCUUGAGUUCGGGAGAGGUGAGUGGAACUGCGAGUGUAGAGGUGAAAUUCGUAGAUAUUCGCAAGAACACCAGUGGCGAAGGCGGCUCACUGGCCCGAUACUGACGCUGAGGCACGAAAGCGUGGGGAGCAAACAGG